GAUUAAGUUAUUAAGGGCGCACGGUGGAUGCCUUGGCACUAGAAGCCGAUGAAGGACGUUACUAACGACGAUAUGCUUUGGGGAGCUGUAAGUAAGCGUUGAUCCAGAGAUUUCCGAAUGGGGAAACCCAGCAUGAGUUAUGUCAUGUUAUCGAUAUGUGAAUACAUAGCAUAUCAGAAGGCAGACCCGGAGAACUGAAACAUCUUAGUACCCGGAGGAAGAGAAAGAAAAAUCGAUUCCCUGAGUAGCGGCGAGCGAAACGGGAAGAGCCCAAACCAACAAGCUUGCUUGUUGGGGUUGUAGGACACUCUAUACGGAGUUACAAAAGUAUAUAUUAGACGAAUCAUCUGGAAAGUUGAAUCAAAGAAGGUAAUAAUCCUGUAGUCGAAAAUAUAUACUCUCUUGAGUGGAUCCUGAGUACGACGGAGCACGUGAAAUUCCGUCGGAAUCUGGGAGGACCAUCUCCUAAGGCUAAAUACUCUCUAGUGACCGAUAGUGAACCAGUACCGUGAGGGAAAGGUGAAAAGUACCCCGGAAGGGGAGUGAAAGAGAACUUGAAACCGUGUGCUUACAAGUAGUCAGAGCCCGUUAAUGGGUGAUGGCGUGCCUUUUGUAGAAUGAACCGGCGAGUUACGAUUUGAUGCAAGGUUAAGCAGCUAAUGUGGAGCCGUAGCGAAAGCGAGUCUGAAUAGGGCGUUUAGUAUUUGGUCGUAGACCCGAAACCAGGUGAUCUACCCUUGAUCAGGUUGAAGUUCAGGUAACACUGAAUGGAGGACCGAACCGACUUACGUUGAAAAGUGAGCGGAUGAACUGAGGGUAGCGGAGAAAUUCCAAUCGAACUUGGAGAUAGCUGGUUCUCUCCGAAAUAGCUUUAGGGCUAGCCUCAAGUGAUGAUUAUUGGAGGUAGAGCACUGUUUGGACGAGGGGCCCUUCUCGGGUUACCGAAUUCAGACAAACUCCGAAUGCCAAUUAAUUUAACUUGGGAGUCAGAACAUGGGUGAUAAGGUCCGUGUUCGAAAGGGAAACAGCCCAGACCACCAGCUAAGGUCCCAAAAUAUAUGUUAAGUGGAAAAGGAUGUGGCGUUGCCCAGACAACUAGGAUGUUGGCUUAGAAGCAGCCAUCAUUUAAAGAGUGCGUAAUAGCUCACUAGUCGAGUGACACUGCGCCGAAAAUGUACCGGGGCUAAACAUAUUACCGAAGCUGUGGAUUGUCCGUAGGACAAUGGUAGGAGAGCGUUCUAAGGGCGUCGAAGCAUGAUCGCAAGGACAUGUGGAGCGCUUAGAAGUGAGAAUGCCGGUGUGAGUAGCGAAAGACGGGUGAGAAUCCCGUCCACCGAUUGACUAAGGUUUCCAGAGGAAGGCUCGUCCGCUCUGGGUUAGUCGGGUCCUAAGCUGAGGCCGACAGGCGUAGGCGAUGGAUAACAGGUUGAUAUUCCUGUACCACCUAGUAUCGUUUUAAUCGAUGGGGGGACGCAGUAGGAUAGGCGAAGCGUGCUAUUGGAUUGCACGUCCAAGCAGUAAGACUGAGUGUUAGGCAAAUCCGGCACUCAUAAGGUCAAGCUGUGAUGGGGAGAGGAAAUUGUUUCCUCGAGUCGUUGAUUUCACACUGCCAAGAAAAGCCUCUAGAUAGAUAACAGGUGCCCGUACCGCAAACCGACACAGGUAGUCAAGAUGAGAAUUCUAAGGUGAGCGAGCGAACUCUCGUUAAGGAACUCGGCAAAAUGACCCCGUAACUUCGGGAGAAGGGGUGCUCUUUAGGGUUAACGCCCAGAAGAGCCGCAGUGAAUAGGCCCAAGCGACUGUUUAUCAAAAACACAGGUCUCUGCUAAACCGUAAGGUGAUGUAUAGGGGCUGACGCCUGCCCGGUGCUGGAAGGUUAAGAGGAGUAGUUAGCUUCUGCGAAGCUACGAAUCGAAGCCCCAGUAAACGGCGGCCGUAACUAUAACGGUCCUAAGGUAGCGAAAUUCCUUGUCGGGUAAGUUCCGACCCGCACGAAAGGCGUAACGAUUUGGGCACUGUCUCAACGAGAGACUCGGUGAAAUCAUAGUACCUGUGAAGAUGCAGGUUACCCGCGACAGGACGGAAAGACCCCGUGGAGCUUUACUGUAGCCUGAUAUUGAAAUUCGGCACAGCUUGUACAGGAUAGGUAGGAGCCUUUGAAACGUGAGCGCUAGCUUACGUGGAGGCAUUGGUGGGAUACUACCCUAGCUGUGUUGGCUUUCUAACCCGCACCACUUAUCGUGGUGGGAGACAGUGUCAGGUGGGCAGUUUGACUGGGGCGGUCGCCUCCUAAAAGGUAACGGAGGCGCUCAAAGGUUCCCUCAGAAUGGUUGGAAAUCAUUCAUAGAGUGUAAAGGCAUAAGGGAGCUUGACUGCGAGACUUACAAGUCGAGCAGGGUCGAAAGACGGACUUAGUGAUCCGGUGGUUCCGCAUGGAAGGGCCAUCGCUCAACGGAUAAAAGCUACCCCGGGGAUAACAGGCUUAUCUCCCCCAAGAGUUCACAUCGACGGGGAGGUUUGGCACCUCGAUGUCGGCUCAUCGCAUCCUGGGGCUGUAGUCGGUCCCAAGGGUUGGGCUGUUCGCCCAUUAAAGCGGUACGCGAGCUGGGUUCAGAACGUCGUGAGACAGUUCGGUCCCUAUCCGUCGUGGGCGUAGGAAAUUUGAGAGGAGCUGUCCUUAGUACGAGAGGACCGGGAUGGACAUACCUCUGGUGUACCAGUUGUCGUGCCAACGGCAUAGCUGGGUAGCUAUGUAUGGACGGGAUAAGUGCUGAAAGCAUCUAAGCAUGAAGCCCCCCUCAAGAUGAGAUUUCCCAACUUCGGUUAUAAGAUCCCUCAAAGAUGAUGAGGUUAAUAGGUUCGAGGUGGAAGCGUGGUGACACGUGGAGCUGACGAAUACUAAUCGAUCGAAGACUUAAUCAA
rnacentral:rRNA from 1 species